UACAGAGGGUGCGAGCGUUAAUCGGAAUUACUGGGCGUAAAGCGUGCGUAGACGGUUUCGUAAGUCGGGUGUGAAAUCCCCGGGCUCAACCUGGGAAUUGCAUUCGAAACUGCGAGGCUAGGGUACGGAAGAGGGAAGCGGAAUUUCUGGUGUAGCGGUGAAAUGCGUAGAUAUCAGAAGGAACAUCAGUGGCGAAAGAGGCUUCCGGGUCCAGUACCGACGUUCAGGCACGAAAGCGUGGGGAGCAAACAGG
rnacentral:rRNA from 1 species